rnacentral:rRNA from 1 species
UACGAAGGGGGCUAGCGUUGCUCGGAAUCACUGGGCGUAAAGGGUGCGUAGGCGGGUCUUUAAGUCAGGGGUGAAAUCCUGGAGCUCAACUCCAGAACUGCCUUUGAUACUGAAGAUCUUGAGUUCGGGAGAGGUGAGUGGAACUGCGAGUGUAGAGGUGAAAUUCGUAGAUAUUCGCAAGAACACCAGUGGCGAAGGCGGCUCACUGGCCCGGUACUGACGCUGAGGUGACGAAAGCGUGGGGAGCAAACAGGG